CAUGUGCAUCAGGUAAUGGACUAGACAAUGCACCAGCAAAAGGAGAAAGUGAUGGAAAUUUCUGCGUGGAAGUGGGGAGUCAUUUACUGCAACAAGAAUGUGAUUGGCAACUACCCUGUCAUAAUUAGUACAACAAACUUCAUUGAAUGUCAUUUUACAAGAAACAUUACAUUAACUAUGAAUCAAUCAUAAUAUGUGUCUAGUUCAACAGGUUUAUCAGCAGCAUUUUCUAACAAAGCCAUUGAAUCAGACGAAAAUGUAAUGGAACUUUCCAUCUGAUGAAACAAUGGAGCAAUUGGUUGAGAUUGAAGAGGCUGAGGAGGUAGUUGUAACACUUCAACUUCACCUUCAAGCAUUUCUAUUACUUCACUCAUUGUAGGGCGCUGUACCGGAUUUGUUUGUAUGCACCAUAACGCAACUAUAGUCAUCUUUCUACUUAUCUUCUUUUCAUCUUCAUUUGCUUCUUCAUCCACCACAAUUUCCUUCCCCCUUUUGAACUUAUCAUAAAUCCAAGAUGGAAAAUAUUGGCUAGAGUUUUCUUCAUUUGCAACUACAUUUCUCUUCAAGUCCAACAUUUCCAUUAGUAGCAUUCCAAAGCUGUAAACAUCAGCUUUAUAAGAUAUUGCUCCAAUGCUUCUGCUGAUCAACUCUGGAGCUACAUAUCCAAUCGUUCCACGAGCAGCUGUAAGAGUCACAAUGCUAUUAUCCGUUGGAUAUUGUUUAGCAAGUCCAAAGUCAGAAAUCUUUGGGAUGAAAUUCUCAUCCAAAAGAAUGUUGUGAGGCUUGAUGUCAAAGUGCAAAAUUCGUAUGUCACAGCCUCGAUGCAAAUACUCAAUUCCUCGAGCCACUCCAACAACAAUUUCAUACUUCCUCUGCCAACUUAACACAGGGCUUCCUUCUUGACUGGCGAUGUACUUAUCAAGUGAUCCAUUGGGCAUGAAAUCGUAUACAAGAGCGCGCUCUGUUGUCUCAACACAAUACCCCACGAGUCCAACUACAUUCACAUGAUGAAUCCUUCCAAUGGUAGCUAUUUCAUUCAUGAAAUCUUGGCCGCCACCAGCUUUAGGCUUGCUCAACAUUUUCACUGCUACAUCCCUACCACUGCGAAGUUUUCCUUUAUAUACUUUGCCAAAACCUCCCUCACCUAAUUUCUCUUUGAACCCUCUGGUCAUUCUCUUUAUGUGGGAGUAAUUAUAUCUGAUUGGCAUGAAAUUGUUUUGUGUCUGCAGAAAGCCUUCAAUCAUAUCAUACAUGGACAAAUGCCUCCUUUUGAAUUUGAACAUCAGAAAUACAAUUAUGAUGGGUAGGCCGAUCACAAAUCUUGCUCCCAAAUACACUGCAGGGUUGUGAAGUCAUACAAAAUUUACUUCUACUUAAGCCAACAAAACAUAGAGAGGAUUAGUUGUUGGAAAAUUCUGAAUAAUUAUACUGACGCUUUAAUAUAAUCUUGACUAUUGAACUUCUUACAGUUUGCAGAUAAUAACAGCCAUCUCUAAACUGUUUUGAAAUUUGAAGAUUUUGAAGAAAAUUAUUUUCAUGAAGAUUGCAAUUAAAAGCUUUACUAAAUUUAACAAAAUUCGAUAUUGUUCUGAUAAUUUGUUUUGUUUUUGUCUAAUUUAGUCUUUUUCCUGGCAUAUACAUGCAUAAAUAUGUCAGAGAGGCCAUUUAAAGUAAGGUUAUGUAAGAGCAUUAAUUUGAAUCACAGAUUAUCAAAAUUAAUAUAUAGUAUCUUUUUGUAUGCAGGCUAAUUUGAGCUUCUUACUUUUGUAUCUUCAAACCAUUACAGUUGGUUAUGUACUUUCUUUUCUUGGCUACAAAAUUAGGUUCAUUAUAGAUAGUUAUAUGUUGCUGUAGGUCACUUUAACCUAAUGGUGUAGAUAUGAGAAUUAUUC
rnacentral:lncRNA from 1 species